GCUGGCUUUAAAUUGCACGUCGUGAAGUGAGUUUGCAGUGGCUAAAAUUGAUGUUUUCCCCCACAAUAUAUGUUUGAAGUGGAAUUGUCGUGUGUGUGUGUAAGCUACAUUCCUGUUUGCCAUGCACUCUCUAUGUGUCAUGAGGGCUGACUGUCAAUAGUAAGAGUCCUGCGACACUGAUUUGUUCCAACUGUCUGGAUGUUGAGGAUUUAUCAUCUGGGAUGUGAAUUAACCCCUCUGUUGUGCUAAUAGGAGAAGAGAUGCCCUGUUGAAAUAUUUACUAUCUGCCUCAGAAAAGCUCUGUGCAACCUGUUGACUUCGAGUCUGCUGUAUCCCUGCCAUUCAACUGUAUGGUGAGAGGUGUUCGCUCCUUCCAAUACAUGUGAAUUGUAUACUUGCCUGAAACAUCCAUUCUGUCUGUCUCAGAAGAAGCCCAUAUUCAGCCUGUUGACUUCGAGUCUGCUGUAUCCCUGCCAUUCAACUGUAUGGAGAGAAGUGUUCGUUCCUUCCACUGCCUGUGAACUGUAUACUUGCCUGAAACAUCCAUUCUGUCCGUCUCAGAAGGAGCCCCAUUCGGCCUGUUGACUUCGAGUCUGCUGUAUCCCUGCUAUUCGUCUGUAUUGUGAGAAGUGUUCGUUCCUUCCAAUGCAUGUGAACUGUAUACUUGCCUGAAACAUCCAUUCUGUCUGUCUCAGAAGAAGCCCCAUUCAGCCUGUUGACUUCGAGUCUGCUGUAUCCCUGCCAUUCAACUGUAUGAAGAAGCCCCAUUCAGCCUGUUGACUUCGAGUCUGCUGUAUCCCUGCCAUUCAACUGUAUGAAGAAGCCCCAUUCAGCCUGUUGACUUCGAGUCUGCUGUAUCCCUGCUAUUCAUCUGUAUGAGGAAGCCCCAUUCAGCCUGUUGACUUCGAGUCUGCUGUAUCCCUGCUAUUCAUCCGUAUUAAACCCUGCACAGCCUGUUGACUUAGAGUUUGUUGCAUCCUUGUGGCCCACCUGUGCUGAGAGAGGUGACUGUCCUUUGUCACGAACGUGAGAGGGGCACGCUUUGUCUGGAAUAUCCACUCUGACGGUGUCAGGAGAAGCCACCUUACGGUAAGACCGUGCACCUGCCGUAUACGUACUUGACUGAUAUCAUUCGCCUCAAAUUCCGUACCUGUGGAAGAAGGAAGGAAGGCUGGAAUUACAUACUUACCGGAGGAGACUUACCGGACCCCUCACUUGCCAAACACAUCCCCACCUCAAGGCUGUGUAUCUGCCGUGUACGGACCUGACCGAUAUCCAUCCGUCCCAAAUUCUGCAUCUGUGAAGAAGGGAAGGGAGUUUGGAAGUAUUUAAUUACCAGAGGAGACUUACCAGACUGCGGGCCUGCCGAUUGUAUUCCCACCUGUGAAAUAACUACUUGACCACCCAUCUGUCCAUCUAUUGCGGGGCCCGCACAGAGGAAGAGGGCGGGAGAGUCCCCGGUCGCUGCAUUGUUUACCUUCAAGCCCUGAGGGUAACAAAGAAGAUUUUAGGUUAGGAUUCCCAAUUUGCUUUUACUUCAAAAUAAAACUUGUUAAAUUUA